rnacentral:rRNA from 1 species
GAUGAACGCUGGCGGCGUGCCUAAUACAUGCAAGUCGAGCGAACAGACGAGGAGCUUGCUCCUCUGAUGUUAGCGGCGGACGGGUGAGUAACACGUGGAUAACCUAUCUAUAAGACUGGGAUAACUUCGGGAAACCGGAGCUAAUACCGGAUAACAUGUUGAACCGCAUGGUUCAACAGUGAAAGACGGUCUUGCUGUCACUUAUAGAUGGAUCCGCGCCGCAUUAGCUAGUUGGUAAGGUAACGGCUUACCAAGGCAACGAUGCGUAGCCGACCUGAGAGGGUGAUCGGCCACACUGGAACUGAGACACGGUCCAGACUCCUACGGGAGGCAGCAGUAGGGAAUCUUCCGCAAUGGGCGAAAGCCUGACGGAGCAACGCCGCGUGAGUGAAGAAGGUCUUCGGAUCGUAAAACUCUGUUAUUAGGGAAGAACAAAUGUGUAAGUAACUAUGCACGUCUUGACGGUACCUAAUCAGAAAGCCACGGCUAACUACGUG